rnacentral:rRNA from 1 species
UGAGGAAUAUUGCCCAAUGGCCGCAAGUCUGAGGCAGCAACGCCGCGUGGGCGAUGAAGGCCUUCGGGUUGUAAAGCCCUUUUCUGGGGGAAGAGGAAGGACGGUACCUCAGGAAUAAGUCACGGCUAACUACGUGCCAGCAGCCGCGGUAAUACGUAGGUGGCAAGCGUUAUCCGGAUUCACUGGGCGUAAAGCGCGUGCGGGCGGUUUCGUAAGUCGGACGUGAAAGCUCCUGGCUUAACUGGGAGAGGUUGUUCGAUACUGCGGGGCGUGAGGUCGGGAGAGGGACGUGGAAUUCCCGGUGUAGUGGUGGAAUGCGUAGAUAUCGGGAGGAACACCAGUGGCGAAGGGGACGUCCUGGCCCGCACCUGACGCUGAGACGCGAAAGCGUGGGUAGCGAGCGG